rnacentral:piRNA from 1 species
GGAAACAAAGAAGGGGCAAAUGUCCUACUU